rnacentral:lncRNA from 1 species
GAUAACAAAAAGCUGACGAGAACAAGACCUAUACACAAACAGUCAGAUAUUAUGUGACAUACUGGUCAGUACCACAUUACAUAAUAGGAUACACUAAUACAAUACACAACACUGGAAAUACAAAAUACACUUAUACAAUACAGAACACUGGAAAUACUAAGUCUGACAGCUUUCAUAACGCCUGAGCACAAUCAAACUUCCUCACUUCCCUCCAUUGAG